AGUGAACGCUGGCGGCAGGCCUAACACAUGCAAGUCGAGCGGCAGCACAGCAGUAGCAAUACUGUGGGUGGCGAGCGGCGGACGGGUGAGGAAUACAUCGGAAUCUACCUUCUUGUGGGGGAUAACGUAGGGAAACUUACGCUAAUACCGCAUAAGACCUGAGGGUGAAAGCGGGGGACCGCAAGGCCUCGCGCGAGAAGAUGAGCCGAUGUCCGAUUAGCUAGUUGGUGAGGUAAAGGCUCACCAAGGCGACGAUCGGUAGCUGGUCUGAGAGGAUGAUCAGCCACACUGGAACUGAGACACGGUCCAGACUCCUACGGGAGGCAG
rnacentral:rRNA from 1 species